rnacentral:rRNA from 1 species
AAUGAACGUUGGCGGCAUGCUUUACACAUGCAAGUCGAACGGUAACAGGGAGCUUGCUCCGCUGACGAGUGGCGAACGGGUGAGUAAUGCGUCGGAACGUGCCGAGUAGUGGGGGAUAACGCAGCGAAAGUUGUGCUAAUACCGCAUACGUACUGAGGUAGAAAGUGGGGGACCUUCGGGCCUCACGCUAUUCGAGCGGCCGACGUCUGAUUAGCUAGUAGGUGAGGGAAAGGCUCACCUAGGCGACGAUCAGUAGCGGGUCUGAGAGGAUGAUCCGCCACACUGGGACUGAGACACGGCCCAGACUCCUACGGGAGGCAGCAGUGGGGAAUUUUGGACAAUGGGCGAAAGCCUGAUCCAGCCAUGCCGCGUGUCUGAAGAAGGCCUUCGGGUUGUAAAGGACUUUUGUCGGGGAGGAAAUCCCCAGCGCUAAUACCGCUGGGGGAUGACAGUACCUGAAGAAUAAGCACCGGCUAACUACGUGCCAGCAGCCGCUGUAA